rnacentral:rRNA from 1 species
UAGGGAAUUUUCGGCAAUGGGCGCAAGCCUGACCGAGCAACGCCGCGUGAGUGAUUAAGGCCUUCGGGUUGUAAAGCUCUGUUGUAAGGGAAGAACAUUCAGGAUAGGAAAUGAUCUUGAACUGACGGUACCUUACCAGAAAGCCACGGCUAACUACGUGC